rnacentral:rRNA from 1 species
AUGCCUCUCCUCCUCUUUGUGUUCACUGUCUUCACCUUACACGCCGCCGCCCCUGCAAAUUCUGCCACGACGGACACCAUCUCCGCCGCCCAACCACUCGUCGGCGGCGACAAGCUCGUCUCCGGGAAUGGCAGGUACGCUCUUGGCUUCUUCGAGACCGGCAGCGACUCCAACUGGUACAUGGGCAUAUGGUUCAACACAGUCCCAAAGCUUACUCCAGCGUGGGUUGCAAAUAGGGACGACCCGAUCAAGAACAUCACCUCGCUGGAGCUCACGAUCUCCGGGGAUGGAAACCUUGUCAUCCUGAACCGGUCCAGCAGCUCCAUAAUCUGUUCUUCUCAAGCAAGAGUCACAACCACCGACACCAUUGCUGUUCUCCUGAACACUGGGAAUCUCGUCCUGCAGAACAGCUCUUCAAACCCAUCAGAUGUUUUCUGGCAGAGCUUUGACUACCCCACGGACACAUUUUUGCCUGGGGCGAAGCUUGGGUAUGACAAGAUCACCGGCCUCAAUCGCCGCCUUGUUUCUUGGAAGAACUUGAUCAACCCGGCCACUGGAGCAUACCAUGAGGAGUUAGACCCCAGCGGCCUCAACCAGUUCCUCCUGACACCGCUCAACUCUUCCACACCGUAUUGGUACAGCGGUGUCUGGAACGGCCAAUACUUUGCCUUGAUGCCAGAGAUGUCAAACGGCUAUUUUAUGAAUUUUACAUUCGUCGACAACGAUCAAGAGAAGUACUUCAUGUAUACCUUGCAUGAUGAAACCAAGGUUAUCCGUAAUUAUGUGGAUGUCUCAGGUCAGGCAAAGACCAAUAUGUGGCUAGAAAGCUCACAGAAUUGGGUGCCCAUGUUUGCCCAGCCCAAAGCUCAGUGUGAUGUCUAUGCAGUCUGUGGACCUUCCACCAUUUGCGAUGACAAUGCGCUGCCAUCUUGUAACUGUAUGAAGGGCUUCACCGUUAGAUCGCCGAAGGACUGGGAACUAGAUGAUCGAACCAGUGGAUGCUUGAGAAACACUCCAUUAGACUGCAGCAACGGAAGCACAAGUUCGACGGACAGGUUCUACCCCAUGCCAUGUGUUAGAUUGCCCCAAAAUGAUGAUCAUAGCAAGCCAGCUGCUGCUAGUUCUGGUGAGUGUGCACAGAUCUGCCUGGGCAACUGUUCUUGCACUGCAUACUCCUUUGUGAAGGGCGAAUGCUCUGUUUGGCACGGCGAAUUACUUGACUGGAGACAGCAUCAGUGCAGUGACAGUUCAAGCACAAAUGGAGAAACUCUCUACCUUCGCCUUGCCGCCAAAGAAUUUCCCAGUCAGCAGGCUAGCAGAAGAGGAAAAACCAAUGUUAUACUCAUCAUCAGUGCAACUGUUGCUUCGUUAGGCUUGUUAGCAGCACUGGUGCUACUAAUCAUUAUUUGGAGGAACAGAACAAAGUUAUCUGGUGGCACACUGAAAAUUGCUAAAGGUGUCAAUGGUAUCAUCGCGUUCCGGUAUGCUGAUUUGCAACGCGCAACUAAAAGUUUCUCUGAGAAGCUCGGAGGAGGCAGCUUUGGUAGUGUGUUCAAGGGGUCUCUGGGUGACUCCGCAACCAUAGCGGUGAAAAGGCUUGACCAUGCUAACCAGGGAGAGAAGCAAUUCAGGGCCGAGGUGAGCUCCAUCGGGAUCAUUCACCAUAUCAAUUUAGUCAGGUUAAUUGGCUUUUGCUGCGAGGGUAGUAGGAGGUUGCUUGUCUAUGAGCACAUGCCAAACCGUUCUCUCGAUCUCCAUUUAUUCCAGAGCAAUGCCACAAUGCCAUGGCACGCAAGGUACCAAAUCGCCCUCGGAGUUGCUAGAGGAUUGGCCUACCUGCACGACAGCUGCCAAGACUGCAUCAUACACUGUGACAUCAAACCAGAAAACAUCCUCCUUGACGCUUCGUUCGCUCCGAGGAUCGCCGACUUCGGGAUGGCCAAGCUUCUGGGAAGGGAUUUCAGCCGGGUGCUGACCACGGUGAGAGGGACUGCGGGGUAUCUCGCGCCUGAAUGGAUCAGCGGCGUUGCGGUCACAACAAAAAUCGAUGUUUACAGCUAUGGGAUGGUGCUGCUGGAGAUCAUAUCUGGGAGGAGAAAUUCUUGGGCACCGUGCUCUUGCGGCGGUGACCAUGGUGUUUAUUUCCCCGUUAACGUUGCCCAGAAGCUUCUCGAAGGCAGCGACGUCUGGAGCUUGGUGGAUCACAUGUUACAUGGCGAUGUCAAUCUGGAUGAGGCUGCAACGGCUUGCAAGGUCGCGUGCUGGUGCAUCCAAGAUGACGAGUUUGAUCGACCGACAAUGGGAGAAGUGGUUCGGAUUCUUGAGGGGCUGGCUGAGAUCAGUGUGCCCCCGAUGCCAAGGCUGCUUCAAGCUAUGAGUGGCAGAGGAAGUUCGCAUUCGACAUGUUCCUAA